rnacentral:rRNA from 1 species
GGAAAGAUGAAUCAAAGAAGGUAAUAAUCCUGUAGUCGAAAAUGUUGUCUCUCUUGAGUGGAUCCUGAGUACGACGGAGCACGUGAAAUUCCGUCGGAAUCUGGGAGGACCAUCUCCUAAGGCUAAAUACUCUCUAGUGACCGAUAGUGAACCAGUACCGUGAGGGAAAGGUGAAAAGCACCCCGGAAGGGGAGUGAAAUAGAACCUGAAACCGUGUGCUUACAAGUAGUCAGAGCCCGUUAAUGGGUGAUGGCGUGCCUUUUGUAGAAUGAACCGGCGAGUUACGAUUUGAUGCAAGGUUAAGCAGUAAAUGUGAAGCCGUAGCGAAAGCGAGUCUGAAUAGGGCGUUUAGUAUUUGGUCGUAGACCCGAAACCAGGUGAUCUACCCUUGGUCAGGUUGAAGUUCAGGUAACACUGAAUGGAGGACCGAACCGACUUACGUUGAAAAGUGAGCGGAUGAACUGAGGGUAGCGGAGAAAUUCCAAUCGAACCUGGAGAUAGCUGGUUCUCUCCGAAAUAGCUUUAGGGCUAGCCUCAAGUGAUGAUUAUUGGAGGUAGAGCACUGUUUGGACGAGGGGCCCCUCUCGGGUUACCGAAUUCAGACAAACUCCGAAUGCCAAUUA